UAUUUCAAUUGGUUUGUCAAACAACCCCUAUUGGACCCUUUUUAUUUGUUUUUUUAUUUUUUAAUUUUCUCUUUUGUGUUUAAUUUAUUCUAUUUAUUUAUGCAGUUAUAUAUUACACGUGGUGUGAAGUCCAAAGAUACCGUCUUGCCAUCGUCAUCGCUUCCUUUCACCGUUUCCUGCCACAUGUCACCAAUACGUGUUGUUUCAUUGUUUUUUCCACCGCCUUGGUUUUGCUCUAACCCAUCUCCAGUCCUUCUCCAACAUUCUGGCCUCUGCAAAGACUUCUAGCCCUAAACAUCACCAUUCAGGCCUUCAGACGGAAACAUCGAAUGCGAUGUAGUCCAAACCUAACGAUCGCCGGCUCCAAUUCCAGUUAUUCGGAGUGAUCCCUCGGAGAUCUGAUUGUAAGGGUGAAUUUCGUCGGGGUGGUCCGAUUUCUAAACGGAAGCAGCCAAUCAGAAGGGAAAAGGAUGUGGUGAGGUUGGGAUAAAACCGAACACCAGGUCUUCGGUUCUCGACGGAUGAACAAUCGUUAGGAGGUGGUUCCGACUUAUCAGCAGCAUUUUUUUUGUUGGUUCCUUUUAUCAUUUUUGUUGCAGGUUUUUAGAUGGAGAGGAGAUUGAAAAGUAGCAGGCGAGGGGUUGCUUGGUUGUAGGCUCGAAAAAGGCAGUGCGCAAGGGGAGGUACAACAGGUCUCUGGUCUCACAAAGCAAAGGGUCACCAAUGUUCUGCCUUUUAGGACUUUGCCUGACCAAGGUUUCUCAACGACUAAAUCUUACCUCACAGAAGAAAUUGACCAGAUGAUCUUUGAAACUUUUGGGUUUAUGCUAUUUUUCCUAAAUCAAAAGCAGCAACAACACCAAUACCAUCAAAAGCAGUUUUUGGGUUUUCAUUUGGUCUCUUUCGAUUCUGUUUGAAGAUUUUGGAGAAAUCAAAGAAGAUGAAGAUGAUGGAAUUGGAAAAAUUUUCAACGAUGGAGAUGUGUAUCGGGAUUGGCCUGCAGAUAUUGACAACGGCUCUGUUGAACUUUCUUGGUGGUUGGAUGUUGUUGAGUCAAUAAAAGCUUGUGGAAAUGAAGCUUUCAUGGUAGUUUCUAUAUGAACUAUUUCAGUUUUAUAAAAAUGUUGUGAUAUAUUUGGAUCUCUCUUGGGAGGAAGAAGGAAUGGAUGAUGGUAUACUUAACACCAGCAUUUCCUUAUUGUUUAUAAAGAUUUAGUAAUUUCCAUUUGGACAAAUUUCUUAUUUGUUAAAAAUUUGUAGACUGAAGUAUUUAUCUUGGAAAGAAAAAGGCACAUAUAUUCACAAAUAGUGUUGUAAGUUUCUCCCUGCUCUUACAUUCAAAUAUAAUGAAUACAGUGAAAUUUCUUUCUUUGUAAUGUAAGGGUAAAAUGGUCAUUUAGUAAUAUUCAGUCGGUUUAUUCGGUCUACAAAAACAAACCUUAUAUGCAGUGUGUUUUAUCAUAAUUAACAGUUUAGCUACUUUACCUAAUGGGAGAAAAAAAAAGGAAACAACUCCUGCAAAAUAUAAGGUGAUGCAAAAGGAGCAUUGUUGAACACAGAAUUUGCUUUGUGUGAUGGUGGAAACAAUGCAAAAGCUUGGUUUCGCCAAGGUCAGGAGGCUGAUAGCAGGGACGAUUUUGUAUUUUACUCUAGAGUACAUCUCCUUUGAAAAUAGAACAAAUUUUCAUGUGAAAAUUUUCAAUCUUCAUAUUUAUUUUCGAAGUCAAUUUCCAAAGUUAAUACAUGGGUAAUGUAAUAGUAUUUCAAAUUCAUAACUUGGAUUACUAUAUUUUUUUGUAUUUGGUAUAUUCUAGCGUAGAUUCUUUAAAGUCAUAAGGACCGAAGAGUGUUGCACAUUGGUGAGGGAAACAUAGACCGAUAAUUAACCUCUGAGAUUUGAAGCCUCUCAUAACCAUUAUCAUGAAGUAAUUUAGCCAGGUUUGACCUUUUCCCCUAUUCUUAUUUGUGAUAAAUUUACAUUUCCAUUUCAGUGAUUUAUUUCAAUCUUUAUAAACCAAAUGACAUUUGGCCUAAUGAUAUGGUUAGAUGGUUGCUGUCUGUGUUUGUAUGUACAUGAGUGACUGGUGUGUGUGUGUUUAUUUGUGUUGAAUGACUGUUGUGUUUGUUGAGCUGCAAUUAGGUAAGUUUUUUUUAUGUAUAUUUUAUGGCUAAUAUUUAUAAAUAGCAAAGUAGUUUAAAUUUAUAUCAAGGGAUCUUGAGCUUCGGAUUAUUUAAGUUAUAAGAUUUUUAUGGCUGAAAUUAACCUUAAUUUUUUGGAAUAUUCCUUCUAGCUAAAAUUUUGGAAGGUUAUGUCGCUAUCAUUUGGAACGUUUUGGAAGAAAAGUUUGUUGUGCAAUCCCUAAAAUGAAGGGAACUGAAGCCGCAUCAAAGUUACAAGACAUAUGUUUAGUAAAACAAAUUUUCUUUAAAGAACAUAGUAAUUGACAAUAUUAGAUUAUGCUUCAAUGUAUUUUUGAAAAGUAAAUGUUAAAAUAAAGUAAAUUCCCUUUUUUAUUAUGUAACUGCAUUCUGUUGAUACAAUACAAUCAAACAAAAAACAACAUCCUUCUAACCCAUGCAAAGCAUGGGCAUC